rnacentral:lncRNA from 1 species
ACCUCUUCAUCUCCUCUAGAAGUUUAUCUUCAAUCUCUGAAAAGAUUUCAGAGAUUUGAAGAAGAGAUUCAAAUCAGCCAAGAAGAAGGUCUUCAUGCGAGCUAGCACUCCCAAGAAGAUCGAUCAGAUCGGAGCUUCGAAUGAAUUUUCUGUAGAGAUUGGAUGUAUGUGCAGUUGUGAGCAACCAGCAAGGAUCUUCUCUAUCAUGUCUCUCAGUAGUGGAGAUCAUUGAUCCA